GCUCUGAGAUUCCUGUAGUCAAACAUUUGUCCAGAUGAUGGAGUGGAAACUAAAAUAUUGUCUUUAUAAUCUAAUACCUGCAGAGAACUGAAGUGUUUCUUUCUUUUUGAACUCGUCCGUCUUUCACCUUCGUGCUGCUGUGAAACACCUUGAAGACGCUGCGAAGGGUUCCUGACAAAGAACGAGACACUGAUGAAGAGAUGAGUCACUGGUCUCAUCGAGCAGGAGCUCCACUGCGGAUCUGUUGUCUUCACGCUCCGUGGAUUCACAAGGUUAUCUGGUCCAUCAUGGGUGGAAAAGUAAAAAUAAAAACACAACAGCCUCCUUCAGAGACACACACCUUCUUGUUAAAACGCUUGAAGGUUUGUUGGGACUGUGUGAGCGUCAGCCUGCUGCUACCGAGGCCGUACUCUUGACCCAGUAACCUACAGGCCCACCCUGCCAAGCCCAAAACACCGCUAAGCCCAGAAAUGUGACACUCCAGACAAUUAGGAAGUGUUUGGACACCAGGAUGAAAACUCUGUCUGCCUGAAGCACCGAUAAAGAUUUUAUUGCCAUCCAUCACUGCUGUGAGCGGCGCAGGAGAGGAGGUAAUUUCCCAGUGGGCAUCGGGAACAAUCCCCAUUAAUGGAGUGCCGAAUUCCACCGGACAGGGCACCGCGGUCACUAUCAGCCGACAUGUACAACUUCUAUUCCCAUUCAAGCAGGCUCCGGUCCUCGUCCUCAGCUGCGGGGGACUUCCUGCUCCUGCUCCGGGCUGUGGUGACUCCUCGGCCCCAUGUCUCCUGUGUGAACACCGGGCUGCUCGUGGCUCCUGCAGCCGGGAAACUCCUGGAGCCUGUGGAGGUGCACGCAGCGUCACGCAGCUGCUUCCUGUCCACUCCUUCACAAUAAAACCUCAACGCGACAACCUGACAGUGCAACUGCACACAGCUAAGAAAAGAUUGUUUUGUACGAGCUGACAGAUUUCCCCGAGGCUGACCCACAAUUGAGAAACAGUUAACAGUGUUUACAGCUACAUGCACAAAUAUGAGGAUUUAUGGAGAUGAAAAUACUGGAGAGGUUUCCCCCUCUGGCUGCAGCUGACAGGAUGGUGGCAAAUAUACAAGCGAAGACACAAAACAUGUUGAGUAUGUGACACAUCAGAUGCAAAAUGGAGCCGGGACCGUGAUGCUGAAUGUGUGUGUCCCUGUUUUUGCUCCACUGCCUCCGAAGCUCCUGGAAAAAAGGAAGGAUGAAACUUUGUUGCAGCUGGAAGAAGUUAGAAUGUAAUA